rnacentral:sRNA from 1 species
UAGAUCACAGCAAAGAUACUCAUUUGUUAGUAGUGCCAGGAAGCAGGCAGUUUCCAUGGUAACUGACAGACCGAGUUUACUGUGGAAAUUUCCGGAAUUAACAGAGCUGCAUUGCAGAAGGAUGCAUAAAGCAGUAUUCAUCUAGAGAUCGUAACAGUACGGACACAGAAGAACAGUUGCAGUGAUGUGCAGGAGAGAGACUGAGAACACACAGCAUUGAGUCAUCAGGAAAACUGAAGAUCUCCCCUGAACAACACUGGGAUUUCACUGCAGAGGACUUGAAAGACCUUGGAGAAAUUGGACGAGGAGCUUAUGGUUCUGUCAACAAAAUGGUCCACAAACCAAGUGGGCAAAUAAUGGCAGUUAAAAGAAUUCGGUCAACAGUGGAUGAAAAAGAACAAAAACAACUUCUUAUGGAUUUGGAUGUAGUAAUGCGGAGUAGUGAUUGCCCAUACAUUGUUCAGUUUUAUGGUGCACUCUUCAGAGAGGGUGACUGUUGGAUCUGUAUGGAACUCAUGUCUACCUCGUUUGAUAAGUUUUACAAAUAUGUAUAUAGUGUAUUAGAUGAUGUUAUUCCAGAAGAAAUUUUAGGCAAAAUCACUUUAGCAACUGUGAAAGCACUAAACCACUUAAAAGAAAACUUGAAAAUUAUUCACAGAGAUAUCAAACCUUCCAAUAUUCUUCUGGACAGAAGUGGAAAUAUUAAGCUCUGUGACUUCGGCAUCAGUGGACAGCUUGUGGACUCUAUUGCCAAGACAAGAGAUGCUGGCUGUAGGCCAUACAUGGCACCUGAAAGAAUAGACCCAAGCGCAU